UACGUAGGGGGCAAGCGUUAUCCGGAUUUACUGGGUGUAAAGGGGGCGCAGACGGCGAUGCAAGCCAGGAGUGAAAGCCCGGGGCCCAACCCCGGGACUGCUCUUGGAACUGCGUGGCUGGAGCGCAGGGGGGGCAGGCGGAAUUCCUGGUGUAGCGGUGAAAUGCGUAGAUAUCAGGAGGAACCCCGGUGGCGAAGGCGGCCUGCUGGACUGCAACUGACGUUGAGGCCCGAAAGCGUGGGGAGCAAACAGG
rnacentral:rRNA from 1 species